ACAGUCAUGGCUGGUAGUGUUUUACAGGUAGCUUCCAUCCACCUUGCUUUGGAAUUGGGUUGCCCUUUUUCAGAAGCAUAUUGGUGUGAAUUUAGUGGGAGAGUCAAGUUUGGCUGCUAUUCAACACAGUAGAAUGUUCUGAUGAAGUACUGAAAUGGAAACAUAAUCCGGAGUAUCCAUCAAUAUUUACUAUCAAGUUUACCAUCUGCUGCCUCCAAAGACAGAAAUGCUGACACAUGAAGCAAACUGAAGUCAAGAAGAGUCCCUUGGAAAACUUUCUAAAAACUACCCUAAUACAGUCCUGAAUAAUUGCAUUCACUUCAUGUGUGUCCUUCUUCCAUGGGGUGGUCAUGGUUCCCCUAUGUUGUUUUCAUCCUGUGGGGCAGAUUAGGCUGAGAGAUGGAUGAGCAGAAAGCAAUAAAAGGCAAAGAAAAUAAGCUGCAAGUUUACAGAAGAAAUGCAUUUCAUGAACCUAGUGGG